rnacentral:rRNA from 1 species
UUCCGGUUGAUCCCGCCGGAGGUCACUGCUAUUGGGGUUCGACUAAGCCAUGCUAGUGGAGGGUGCGAUCGAAAGAUCGUAACCCCGCUGAAGGCUCAGUAACAUGUAGUUAACUUACCCUCGAGUUGGGGGUAACCACGGGAAACUGUGGAUAAUCCCCGAUAGGUGAUGAAUACUGGAAUGCUCAUCACUCAAAGCUCAGGUGCUCGAGGAUGGGACUGCAACCUAUCAGGCAGUUGGUGGUGUAACGGUCCACCAAACCUACGACGGGUACGGGCGAUGGGAGUCGGAGCCCGGAGAUGGGGACUGAGACAAGGCCCCAGGUCCUAUGGGACGCAGCAGGCGCGAAAACUCCGCAAUGCGCGCAAGCGUGACGGGGGAACCCCAAGUGCCGAUGGUCUUUGAUCGUCGGCUUUUCGGAAGUGUAAGGAGCUUUCGGAAUAAGGGCUGGGUAAGACUGGUGCCAGCCGCCGCGGUAAUACCAGCAGCCCAAGUGGUGGCCGGGUUUAUUGGGCNCUAAAGAGCCCGUAGCCGGAUCGGUGAGUCCCUUGUGAAAUCGGACGACUUAAUCGUUCGGCUUGCAAGGGAUACUAUCGUUCUUGAGGCCGGGAAAGGUCAGGAGUACUUCGGGGGUAGUAGUGAAAUGCUGUAAUCCUCGAAGGACUACCAGUGGCGAAGGCGUCUGACUGGAACGGACCUGACGGUGAGGGGCGAAAGCUUGGGGAGCGAACGGGAUUAGAUACCCCGGUAGUCCAAGCCGUAAAGUAUGCGGGCAAGGUGUUUGGUAUCCUUCGAGGGUACUAAGUGCCGAAGGGAAGCCGUUAAGCCCGCCGCCUGGGAAGUACAGUCGCAAGGCUGAAACUUAAAGAAAUUGGCGGGGGAGCACCACAAGGGGUGGAGCCUGCGGUUAAAUUGGAGUCAACGCCGGG